rfam:Oryza rufipogon genomic scaffold, chr05
AAAAAGACAAACCCUGGGUUUCCGUGUCCAAUAUUUGAUUGCCCGUCUUAUAUGAAAUUUUUUUAUAAUUAGUAUUUUUAUUGUUGUUAAAUGAUAAAUGAUAAAACAUAAAACAUGAUUAAUACUUUAUGCGUGACUUGUCUUUUUAAUUUUUUUCAUAUUUUUUUCAAAUAAGACAGACGGUCAAACGUUGGACACGAAAACCUAGGGUUUGUCUUCUU